UACAGAGGGUGCGAGCGUUAAUCGGAAUUACUGGGCGUAAAGCGCGCGUAGGCGGCUUUGCAAGUCGGGUGUGAAAUCCCCAGGCUUAACCUGGGAACUGCAUUCGAGACUGCAUUGCUAGAGUAUGGGAGAGGGAAGUGGAAUUUCCGGUGUAGCGGUGAAAUGCGUAGAUAUCGGAAGGAACAUCAGUGGCGAAAGCGACUUCCUGGACCAAUACUGACGCUCAUGUGCGAAAGCGUGGGGAGCAAACAGGAUUAGAAACCCG
rnacentral:rRNA from 1 species